ensembl:lncRNA
UUGCGGUUAUUUUUGAGACGGCGCUCCUCAUUGGCUACUGUGGACCUGCAAUAUUCUGUUCACUGUACGAGCGCCUAAGAUUGGCUACGUUGGAUCUGCAAUGCGUCAAGCAAUGGCGCUUAAUGUUACCUCAGUGGUUUUGGAAAAUGGUGUAACCGGACAGUCUACAUUGUAACACAGAGUAUUUUUGCAACACUGUAAAUAAUUGCUUACGACAAGACGUUUCUUUCAGUCUUUGUAGUUUCUCAAAAUGUUUCCGCCUCACCUGGCAAGGGCUCGAUUUGAGUUUUUCGGGAGGAGUGGUGGUGAUUGGCGAUUGGUCACCGCAAACAUACACGGAACAUGUAGUCGCGGAAUUUUAAAUGGCGGGUUUCGAUGAAGGAAUAUAGAAUUACAAUAUUAGAAAGCUUGUGCUGAUUCCAAGUCUAUUUUGUAAAUUAGACCAGUACUGGAUACAAAAAUCAAGAUUUAUCAAUUUACUAUGGCUAAACAAACUGUUUAAUAGUAAUGAUGAUUGAUUUUAGACAAUUAUCUCGCAGCCUGCAACAAUCAAUGGACUGGAAAACCAUUGAAUUAACGAUGAAUCCCAACAACAUUCACGCUUUAAUCAGUUUAUGGAAGUGACUGAUUGAUUCAUGCUCAACGAUGAAUAGGCUAAACUAAAUCAUAAAAUGUGCCAUCAAGAUAACAUGAUUUAGCCUAAAAUUAUAGCUACUACCCCUCCAACAAACCACAGUCGCUUCUGAGAUGACGUCAUAUUUAUCCGACUGUUUACAUGCAGAGGAGAACAACACAUGGCUCUAUUUCCAGCUUUUGUACGAUUAUCAAAUACAAAACCUGAGAAUGCACCUAAAGACAACAGAUAGGGAGGAUAAGAAUGGCUACCCAUCCAAGAAGAAUAAAAAGAAGAAGAAGAAGAAUAAAAAGAAGAAGUACAAGAAGAAGAAUGGAGAACCCUCUACAGCAAGCAGUGGCUCAUAUUCAAAUACUAUCUACUCCAGUGAUCUCCUGAAAAAGGCUGAGACUACACCUCACACAUAUGACCUCACUCCCUUUGUUCCCAGUGAGACCCAGUCACUCAGAUUUACAUGCUCUGUGAGGAGGUGCAGUGUCAGCUGGAGGGGUCUUUUGUGUGGCUGGACGACCUCUAGACCCCCACCGAUUGGCCCUUCUGCGUGGACAGAAGAGCAGACCUUUCCAACUUGGAGUACAAAUCGCUCUACAGAGAAGACAUCGCUAGCCAUCUUCCUCCAGCAGUGUCAUUUCCUCAGGCAUGCAGGCCACUCAGAAAAGGCUGUGCGCCUGUUCCAGUGCCUGCUGGACUUGACCUUCUUCAAGCCAGACCUAUCCACCAGACAACAGGUAGACAGACACACACACAGUCAUUCCCCAUGUACCUCUGCAAAGAACACAUAUGCAUCUGGCUGGUUGCUCUCUCCAGAAUAG